UAGGGAAUCUUCCGCAAUGGGCGAAAGCCUGACGGAGCAACGCCGCGUGAGUGAUGAAGGUCUUCGGAUCGUAAAACUCUGUUAUUAGGGAAGAACAAAUGUGUAAGUAACUAUGCACGUCUUGACGGUAACUAAUCAGAAAGCCACGGCUAACUACGUGCCAGCAGCCGCGGUAAUACGUAGGUGGCAAGCGUUAUCCGGAAUUAUUGGGCGUAAAGCGCGCGUAGGCGGUUGUUUAAGUCUGAUGUGAAAGCCCACGGCUCAACCGUUGAGGGUCAUUGGAAACUGGAAAACUUGAGUUCAGAAGAGGAAAGUGGAAUUCCAUGUGUAGCGGUGAAAUGCGCAGAGAUAUGGAGGUACUCCAGUGGCGAAGGCGACUUUCUGGACUGUAACUGACGCUGAUGUGCGAAAGCGUGGGGAUCAAACAGG
rnacentral:rRNA from 1 species